GGCUGCUCCGGAGCUGGAACGAGCUGAUUCCCAUAAAUCACCAGCAGGAGGUGCCGUGGGGGGUGAAAGUUCUCAGCUGUAACCCUGAAUGUGCAAGAAGCAGAGAAACAAUAUCCAAGAAAAAGAGCUGGAAUUUUUCAUCUUGUUUUCAUCUAGGCCUUACUGAGGACAGUAGCAAACACCUGCCCUUUGCGAAGGAACACAGCACCGUACCGCAGCACAAACCCCACUGAGCACAGCAGGGGCUGUCCUGGUUAUCCAGCUCUGCCCCGGUUUCAUUACAAACUUCCUGUCUGUGAUGAUGUUCUGGUAACAAGGGGGCAAUCAGCUGUCAAAGGGAGGAGCCUAAAUUAGGUUUCCCUAAAUCCAUGAUUGGAAUAGUGACGCAAAGCCUCACUAGAAGCCAAGCAGCUCGGAAAGAAUGGGAUGAUCACAAUGCAGUGGAACACUAUUUAUCUGACCCUCCAGUAUCCGGUUCUCUGUAUUAACCCAACAACCACCGCGCACAGGUCCAGAAGUGGGCAAUCUCUCCUAUGGUCACUAGAUGGCGCUGCAGUCUGGCACUUUCCCAUUCAUCCGAUCAUCCGACGUUUUGGUUAACCAAUCUGGCCCUGGUCCCAACUUGAUGUGA